AGGACGAACGCUGGCGGCGUGCUUAACACAUGCAAGUCGAACGAGGCCCUGCCUUCGGGCAGGUGACCUAGUGGCGAACGGGUGAGUAACACGUGGGCAACCUACCCUCAGCUCUGGGAUAACCCCGGGAAACCGGAGCUAAUACCGGAUAUGACCUGAUGCGACAUCUCGUCAGGUGGAAAGUUUUUCGGCUGAGGAUGGGCCCGCGGCCUAUCAGCUUGUUGGUGGGGUAAUGGCCUACCAAGGCGACGACGGGUA
rnacentral:rRNA from 1 species